UUAACGCUUAUAUGGGCGCUAUCAGUAUCAGGCGUCAGCUGUGUGCUCGCAAUAUCUAGUUUAAGUGUAUUAUCUAUGCGCAAUAUGGCGGCAUGGUGAAAACAUGUAGCUGUGGGGAUCAAUCGAAUACGAGAUAACAUUCACAAUUUGAAAUUGAGAGUUGUUUUUGGAACGAAGCUCGUUACGGCAGGCUUGACAUUUGGCUGGGCGACCGAACUGAAAAAAAUGCGAUACUAAAA